CGGAUUGUAGUCUGCAACCCGACUACAUGAAGCUGGAAUCGCUAGUAAUCGCGGAUCAGAAUGCCGCGGUGAAUACGUUCCCGGGUCUUGUACACACCGCCCGUCACACCAUGGGAGUCGGUAACACCCGAAGCCUGUAGUCUAACCGCAAGGAGGACGCAGUCGAAGGUGGGAUUGAUGACUGGGGUGAAGUCGUAACAAGGUAUC
rnacentral:rRNA from 1 species